AUUGAACGCUGGCGGCAGGCUUAACACAUGCAAGUCGAGCGAGCGGCGGACGGGUGAGUAAUGUCUGGGAAACUGCCUGAUGGAGGGGGAUAAAUAAUGGAAACGGUAGCUAAUACCGCAUACCAUCAGAUGUGCCCAGAUGGGAUUAGGUAGUAGGUGGGGGAAAGGCUCACCUAGGCGACGAUCCCUAGAUGGUCUGAGAGGAUGAGCAGCCACACUGGAACUGAGACACGGUCCAGACGCCUACGGGAGGCAGCAGUGGGGAAGAUUGCACAAUGGGCGCAAGCCUGAUGCAGCCAUGCCGCGUGUGUGAAGAAGGCCUUCGGGUUGUAAAGCACUUUCAGCGAGGAGGCGUUACUCUCACAGGAAGCACCGGCUAACUCCGUGCCAGCAGCCGCGGUAAUUC
rnacentral:rRNA from 1 species